rnacentral:rRNA from 1 species
UGGGGAAUAUUGCACAAUGGACGGAAGUUUGAUGCAGCGACGCCGCGUGGAGGGUGUAGGCCUUCGGGUUGUGAACUCCUUUUUCUCGCGAAAAAGGCACAGUUUUGGCUGUGUUGAUGGUAGUGGGGGAAGAAGCGCCGGCUAACUACGUGCCAGCAGCCGCGGUAAUACGUAGGGCGCGAGCGUUGUCCGGAUUUAUUGGGCGUAAAGAGCUCGUAGGUGGUUCGUCGCGUCUGUCGUGAAAGCCAGCAGCUUAACUGUUGGUCUGCGGUGGGUACGGGCGGGCUUGAGUGCGGUAGGGGUGACUGGAAUUCCUGGUGUGGCGGUGGAAUGCGCAGAUAUCAGGGGGAACACCGAUGGCGAAGGCAGGUCACUGGGCCGUUACUGACACUGAGGAGCGAAAGCGUGGGGAGCGAACAGG